UUCGCAAUGCCCGAAAGGGUGAACGAGCGACGCCGCGUGCGGGAUGAAGGCCCUUGGGUCGUAAACCGCUUUUGCAAGGGAAAAACUUACGUGAUGGUACCUUGCGAAUAAGAGGUUGCUAACUCUGUGCCAGCAGCAGCGGUAAUACAGAGACCUCUAGCGUUAUCCGGAUUUAUUGGGCGUAAAGCGCGUGUAGGCGGAUGGGAACGUCGGUCUUUGAAAGCCCCCGGCUCAACCGGGGAAGCGGAGCCGAAACGACCGAUCUGGAGGGACGUAGGGGGACCUGGAACUUCCGGUGGAGCGGUGAAAUGCGUUGAGAUCGGAAGGAACGCCCGUGGCGAAAGCGACUCUCUGGCCCGUAACUGACGCUGAGUGUGCGAAAGCUAGGGGAGCAAACGGGAUUAGAUACCCCGGUAGUCCUAGCCGUAAACGAUGGGCACUAAGUAGAGGGGUUUU
rnacentral:rRNA from 1 species